UUGACAUUGCUUUCGACACCUGGUAGAGACCAUGUCCGACGACUCAAUAUUAUGAUUUUUUUGUGAGAUUUUUAUUUUUUUUACAUCGUACAAAUCGGUUAUUCAAUGGGUUUGUGUGGGCUAAUAGCAGUAAGGCCAAAUUCAGUGUUUCAUCAAAUAAUCUUGUAAUAUAUAUUUUCUAUACCUAAAGGGGUACUAGAAUUCAAAAUCUAACUUUUUUCACUACCAAAGGACUCCUGACUCGAAUAUUACGGACUCUGACAAUCAGAUAUUGCGGACUUGGGACUCGACUGGGACUUGACUGUUUUAGUGACUCGACUACAUCACUGCAUGACCAAACCAUGAACUGUGGUGUUGAAUGUGGAGACCAAACUUGACACUUGGCUAAUGAUUGCCCUUCUGCAGCCCAGGGUUUCCCUGAUGGAUCAGACACAUGGAGAAGUCAAGUGCCAGCUGUAUCACAACCGGCCGUGAUUGGGAGUCCCAUAGGGCGGCGCACAACUGGCCCAGCGUCGUCCGGAUUUGGCCGUCAUUAUGACAAAACCUGCACACAGGCCAAGGGGUGCAGGUCUGCCGACUUCCUUCUGGCCACACAUUGUAUUCUGAGAAAUAGGACAUUGCUUUAACUGUGAAUGUACUUUAUUGCAGAUAUUUUCCUCAAAUAAAAUUCACCAUACAUUAAAAUAAACAAGUUAUUACAACUGAUUUACAUUGGGUCUAAUGUGUGUAUGAGGCAUGUUUUUCAACUCAGAAAAAAAGCACACAAAAUGUCCUAAAACUACAUAUUAAGCAAGUCUUUUACAAUAUUAUCAAUCACACUUUGAUUUGAUAGAUAGUUUGAGUAAUUAUGUAGAUAUUGAGCAUGUCUAUGAGGGAGUAGAUAUCUCCAAUCCUACAAUAAAAUGGAGCAAACAUUAAACAAGUAAUUACAACUUAUUUACAUUGUGGAUGUGUG
ensembl:lncRNA